UGGAUCUACCAGUCAGAGGAAGGGCUAAAGGGUCCAGUUUACCUGGAAAUUGGAAUUUGGGCUGUCAGAGGGGAGGGUGGGUAAUGGUUAUUGAAGAGGGCGCCUGUUGGAAUGAGCACUGGGUGUUGUAUGGAAACCAAUUUGACAAUAAAUUUCAUAUUAAAAAUAAAGAAACAUUAAAAAAAAUUAGAAAAAAAAGAAAUCUGUUAGGACCAAAACAGCUAACAUAGGCACCAUUACCUGGGUGUGCUGCCACAAGGCCUUCCAAAUGUCUCCCUCACAAUGAACUAACCUAUUCAGUCACAGACAAUGAUUGACAACCAAAGGCCUCCCCUAAUUAAAAGGUGUCAAUACAACCUAAAGACAGGCUAACUUGAACGUACAGCCUACACAAGAAGGAUAAUUCAAGAUUUUCCAACCCUCUCCCAAGUUCGCCUACCACUCUUCCUACUUUUGUGCAGAGUAAAGUGGGAAGUCCAGAGAGAGGCCAAAGGUGUUACAUAAGCAAAGGCUCUUGGACAUGGAGAAUGAGGCAAGAGGAAAUAAAUCAUAGGAACGGUAGUAUAAGGAGUACAAUAACUCUAAAUUAGUGAUUAUGUAAGUAGAGCAAAUAUGAAUCUGGUGUUGUCCAAAAAUUUCUAUGUUUAUAAUAACACAAAAGAAUUAAACCCAGAGUUUUGUCUCUGGUCAUGAUAUAGGUAUAGGGAAUAGACCUGCUGUCCUGCUGUAAACAACAUGAAAAAUAAAAUACAAUAAACAACUGUUUUCAAACAUUGGCCAAUAGGCUGUAGAGGACUGUUUUGCUGGAGAAAAGGGAAACUAAUGUGGUGAGCUUUAUACAUUUUUUUAAAUUUAAACAAACAAACAAACAAAAUGUGGUCAGCUUUACACCUGGGCUUUCUUCUUGAAGGCAAUUCCAAGAUCACUAUGCAGCAAGGGGGAUGCCAUGGAAGUCUUCCAAAGUUGAAGAGACAGAAGUCAAAUUGCAGAGACAGACUGAGGAGACUAAAAUUUACAGAUUAUAGUACUGAAAAGAGCAGAGCCAAAAACUAGAGAGAUCUGUGUAAAUCUUUGUCAAGCUGAUUGCAAAAUACUCAGCUCUGCAAAUGAAGAGUGAAACCCCACAAAGUUGGGCAAAAAACAGUUGGAAACUUGUAAAAUGAACAAUUCCCAGAGCAUACAUGGUUGCUACCAGAUGUCCAAGUUCCAGGGUGAAGAGUCCUUAACUACCAGGUAGUUAGUAAUAGUAUUAAGUUAGCAAUAAAGGCAAUUCUACACUCACCCUAAUCAAAAAAUCAAAGCCUUGAAAAGAUCAAACUGAUCUGUAACUUGACAGCACUCCAAAAAAUGUUUAAAGAAAACCAAAAUCCCGCAUUCAACAGUGUGAUAUCAAUAAUGUCUCAUAUCCAAUAAAAAAAAAAAUCACUAACAUGAGAAAAGGGAAAAAUGUGGCUCAAACCA